CGUAUAUUAAAGUUGUUGCAGUUAAAAAGCUCGUAGUUGGAUUUGUGGAUGAUCUUGAGGUCCACGUUUUGCGUUGGUACUAUUGAGAUUGUCCAUCCUUGGGUGGAAUCUGUGUGGCAUUAGGUUGUCGUGCAGGGGAUGCCCAUCGUUUACUGUGAAAAAAUUAGAGUGUUCAAAGCAGGCUUAUGCCGCUGAAUAUAUUAGCAUGGAAUAAUAAGAUAGGACUUGGGUGCUAUUUUGUUGGUUUGCGCACCUUGGUAAUGAUUAAUAGGGACAGUUGGGGG
rnacentral:rRNA from 1 species